GAUUAAUAUUUAUAUAAUAUUAACAUAAUUCAUAUUACUAAAUUUAUUAGUAUAUGAAAUUUUACUUUGAGAAAAUUAGAGUGCUUAAAGCAGGCAUAUGCCUUGAAUACUCCAGCAUGGAAUAAUAUUAAAGAUUUUUAUCUUUCUUAUUGGUUCUAAGAUAAAAAUAAUGAUUAAUAGGGACAGUUGGGGGCAUUUGUAUUUAACAGUCAGAGGUGAAAUUCUUAGAUUUGUUAAAGACAAACUAAUGCGAAAGCAUUUGCCAAGGAUGUUUUCAUUAAUCAAGAACGAAAGUUAGGGGAUCGAAGACGAUCAGAUACCGUCGUAGUCUUAACCAUAAACUAUGCCAACUAGAGAUUGGAGGUUGUUCCUUACUCCUUCAGCACCUU
rnacentral:rRNA from 1 species